UUGAUAAUAAUGGUGAACUGUCAUUUUAUGCCACCAGAGGGCGCAUUGAUACCGACAGACAGCCAUCAUGGAGGCUAGGGCGAAGUAUAGUUUUAAAGGCUCACAAAGUGAUGAAUUAGACAUGGAAAGAGAUGAUGUCAUAAAGGUACUAGAUAUGGAUGAUGCUGAUUGGUUUAAAGCAGAGAAAAAUGGAAGAGUAGGAAUGGUUCCAUCUACAUAUUUGACUAUGUUACCACACCAAUGGUAUUUGGGUAAAAUUACAAGAGGUGAAGCUGAACAAAUAUUAUCAGAGACAGAUCAAUCUGGUCGACAUAAACAUGAUGAUGGUGCAUUUUUAGUUCGUAAUAGUGAAUCAGAUGCUUCAGGGUUUUCCCUAUCUGUCAAGCAAGGAAAUAGUGUUCAACAUUUUAAAAUUUUGAAUAACUCUUCGGGAUCAUAUUAUUUGUGGACAAAACUUUUCCGUUCUGUGACAGAACUUGUUCAGAAUCAUAAAAAAGAGUCUGUUUCUCGAAACGCUCAUACGAAUUUACUUUUAAAAGAUAUGAAUACAGGAGUUCCUCGAAUAGUGCAUGCGAAAGCACUAUUUGAAUUUUCAGCCAGUGGACCUGAAGAACUUUCUUUCAAUAGAGGUGAUGUUUUAGUCAUACAAGAUCAGUCUGAUCAGGAUUGGUUUAAAGCUGAGUUAAAUGGAAAGACCGGAUUCAUACCAUCAAAUUAUGUAAAGAUUGAAUUGACAUAAUGUAAUGGAGAUAGACAUCAGUCUGCCACAUUUGUCUUUAAACGGCUAUUCUAUUAGUUUAAGUAGAAUUAUUAACAAGUUUUAAUCAACUUUGUUUAAUGAGUGUAAUCUGUGCUGGUUCGCAGUUUCUUUACUUGUUAAGUUAAUAUGCACUGAAUGUAAACUAAUCAUGAAAACUUGUUUUUGAAUUCUUUUCUUAUUCUGGAGGCUGUAUGCAUUGAUCAUAUCUAAAGCUAAAGUUUUAUUCAAGUAAUUUUGAAUUUAUCAGUUGAAACACAUCAGAAAUGCUUACAAAUAAUAAUAUUUUUGGGAUUUAAAUAUUAACAUUCAGUAAUUAGACCAUACAAAUUUAAAUUUAAGUUCUUCGUGAACAUCUAUUUCAAAAAUAUUUUGCUUUCUAUUUCUUUGGGAAAAUAACUAAAUUUAGCAAAAACUAGUUGCACUUCUCAAAAGCUUUUAGUUAGAAGUUUUGAAAUUUUAAGUAAAGCAUCAUUAACAUCGUUUUUGUAAGAGUAAUGUGUCAGUUUGAUUCUUUCAAAUGUUUCAUUUAUAAGGGCGAGCUACUAACGUUUAGAUUUGUAUUACGAAAAAUUUAAGUGCUUUUCUACUCAAGGUUAUGUAUAUAAGGACAAUUAAGCAACCAACGAUUAGAUUUGUAUUAUGAAAACCUAUCCCCAUUUGAGAAAUUUUCUACUCAUUGUUGUGAUUUUGCCUUUAACUAAACAAAAAAGAAAUCUGUUUGUAUUUGAACAUUGGUUAGCAUAAGGAAAUCACCAUCACAUAGUAAAUUAUGUUGUUAAAUGGAAAUUUGCUUUUUCUAUAAGUUUAACAAACUUUAGCUUAUGAUAUUAGAUAAUGAUAUUUGAAAUUAUUUUUAGAAGUGUGACUUUAGUAGCUUGUUAGUUUAUCAUUGAGAUUAAUUGAUUGCUUUUAUUUAAGAACAAAAAAUCUCGCCAAUAGGAUAUGGGCUUGAGUAGUGUUUUAUUGUUUUUGAUGAAAUGUAAGGUAUGUAUUUAAUUUGAUUAUUACAUGAAAAUUGAUUAGGAUUUCAUAUUAUUAUUGGCUUUUUCUAAAAUCCCAACUGCUGAUUAGAAUUUAUGUUGCAGUAUUAUGCUAUUUAAAGGCUUGAUGUGUCAUUUGCAUUUUUGCUAAAUUAUCAAAUUUCUCAUGGCUUAAUACACGAUAAAUAUGUACUCAGGUUGAUUAUUUAACUUAAGAAAUAAAAAUAUCAAUGCUAGAUAAUCUUCUAGCUUGGAUUCCGUCAGAUUUAAACUAGGCCCAUCAGGUUUCUCUGCUACCAAUAGCACCAUCGAGCACCAUAGAUCAAUGAAAUUUUAAUUGAUCAUAACUUUGUAAAUAUUAAAUGAAAUUGAACCAUUUUUGGACUGAUAUUCCUAUUAGAGAUACAUAUUUUACAAUAUUGUAAUUUGCAAGUGAUUCCUAUAGCACUAAAAAUGAUGCGCUAAGACUUUAAAUAUCUUGGUUAUAAACUGUCUAUCAUCCAAAAGGGACCAAAUGUUUUGAAGUCAGGUACUGAUUAUGUGAAUGGAUACAGGCACUGUAAUGGGAGAAAGGAACAGGAAAAUUUAGUACUACCGAUAUUUCAGAAACUUAACAGUAAUACUAUAAAUAGCAACUAUUAAGUGGCAAUACAGCUUCAUUCAUUCAUGUUCAGACAAAAAUAGAUUGUUUAUCUUAUUUCACUUGUAUAUAGUUGUUUGUUUGUUGGCUACUUGUUGGGCUUUCUUACAAAACAAGAUAAUAACCAUGCCAUAUUAAGUUCAGAAAAUAACAUUUUCCUUCGACAAUGCCAAGGGCAUCACGAUGUGAGAAUUGUUUGCAAAAAUAAAAGGUUUGGAUGGUGUUUAUUGAGUUUGGAAAAGAGCUCAUUAAUUGCUUGUUUGCUUAGAAAAUUGUAUUACGCUAAUAUGUUGAUUAUCAGAAAGAUGAUUUAGUGUUAUUUUCGAUGAAAAAAAAUAAAUAGUUGACUUAUAAGGUGAUAGUUAUCACCAUUUCUAUAUAUAUGUCUACUACUGUGUAGCAAGUGUGUUUGGUCUUGUUUAAUGGCGGUCCAGACGAGGUGGAGAUAAGGAGAUAUGUCCACUGCACUACCCCUCAAACUGGCUCAAACAGAGUUGUUACAUUUUGAGCUCGUAUAUUUAGAGUAAAUCCUAUUGAUGGAUACCAAUAAAAACCACAUGCCUUUAGUUCUACCACUUCUAGAAGUUAGCCGCUGGAUAGAGGUCUUAAGAGAUAAAUUUUGUAUUUUAGGAUAACUAAAUAAAACAUUAUUAAUUUGAUUGAUUUCAUCAAUUGUAAUAGAUGGACACAAUGUUAUAACAAAUUAUGACAUGCACAUAGUGCUACAGAAACAAAAAUGUGAAAUUAAAAUCUGUAUUUUAAUCAUAUUGAGAGGAGGAGACAUUUAAUUUUUAAUACACUGUACAACUGUUUUUCCAGCUGUGUUUGUUUACAUACGUAACUAAAGAUUGAUGGUCUCAAAGUAUCAAAUCUUUUGGUUUUCCAAUUUCAGUGUAUGGAUAAAGUUCUAACAAUUUCAUUUGAAGCCAUUUCUAUGUAAAUAUAAUACAUUGUUGGACGUUUUGUGGUGUUUUUGUAAAUAAAGUGAUUUAUACAUCACAUAUUGUGGACUAAUUGUAGCACAGACUUCACAAAUGCAUGUAUUACUGCAUGGUUGAUCCAUUAUAUUCAACUUUAUUACUCAGUUCUAAUUGUUUGUCCCAUAUCUAGAUCUGUUGCACUCUGAAUUUUAUCCUGAUUGAAUAAUGACUUUGAGUUGAUUGUCAUUUAAAUCCUGGAAGCUCACAUGUACUUACCGUAAUUUAGAACAGAUAUGUAUAUUAUUGCAUUUGACAUUUCACAUUUCACUUUGCAAUGGAUAUGUUAUCUAGUUAUAUAGGUUUAUAUAUAUAUAUGCAUGUAUAAUUAGUCCAUUGAUUCAAAUUUGCCAUGGUAUCAAAUUGGAUUAAUUUAUCAUGUUAUUUUUUUUAGAAGGACAGUAAACCACAUGGUCAAAUUUGCCAUGAGUUGGUAUCAAAUUAGAUUAAUGGUCAAAAAUAUUUUUAAGAUCAAAUUAUUGCAAUCCAAUCAACCAAUUCAAAACCUGUAUGUUCUGGUUUAUUUGGAAAGUUUUCAGAAUUACUAUCUAUCAGCUUAAAUACUACUUCAGAUGUUGUUGACAUUCACAGAAACUGAUUUAAAGCUAAAAAUGGUCAUAACCUAUGUAUCAACGGUUUUAAUAUCUUUUUGGCCAUUCAAUUUAAGACUACAUGUACUCUGGAUUAGGUAUGGUUUUAGACUCUAUAAAGUUAUUUUAUUCUCCCUUAAUUAGAUAUUUGUUUUAAUUUGUAAUUUCCUAAUCAUGUGCAUAUAUAUAUUUUCAAAUCUGGGUCCUUGUUCCUGAAAACAUAACUAAAAUCAUUACUUUAAGGAUGCAUUCUUUUCAUAGGUUGAGGGUUAAAAUCCAAGUACAAAUUUGAACUCUUAGCCAAUGUAAAAGCCGGUCACUUAGAAUAUCUUAGUUCAGGUUUUCGUAAAUAAGACUCUUGUUGUAUAGUUCAUUUAAAAUGUAUUAGUAUAUCAUAACAAAUAAAACAAAUUUUGAAAAGGUAGCUUGUAAAAAUGAUAUUUUUUACACAAUAGAAUAUUGUAGAGUAUAUGUUUUGUGUUGUAUACACCUUUUACUUUGACUAAAGUUUAACUUUGUAAAGUUUUGAAUAUGUAUACCGGUAUUGUUAGGUGUAGCUGAACAUACAUUAUACUUUAUCCACAAAAGUAAGAGAGGUGCAUACAACCCAAAGAGUUUACAUUUUAUAAUAAAUCUUUCUACAGGAUUUAUAAAAAGAGUACUAUUUAUUAUGAAGAAACUUAUAAUUAUACAAGUUUUAUUUACCAUGUAUUUUGAUAAAAAAAAAAGUUGUUAAUACUAUGUCAAAAAUUCAUUUUAAGUGAUGUUGUGUAUGUGGCAGUAUGUGCUCACUCUUUGUGGAACACCUGAUACUAGGUUGCAGUGAUUCUUGGAUAAUCAUGCAUCCUGAUACAUAUAGCUGAAUAUAAACUCACAUACAAUACCAACUAUGUUCCAUGGCAUAAUGUAUAAAAUAAAAUCUUACAUUAAGGCCAUAUAAAAAAAAAAUUCUGCUUCUCAAAUUAACCAGCACCCGUUUUUAUUUCAAACAAUAAAACAUAAAAACAGUCUAUUUAAUUAUGGCUCGGGUCACAGGAAGUAAAAAUCAUACAAAAUUUGAAUGAAUCUAAAAAUGAAGUGAUACUUGUUAUUAAUAACAUGAUGAGAUAAAUUUAGUGUCAUGAAAUGUGAUGUUUAUUAGAAGUCAUUUAGCCCAGUAGUGAUCCUUUGGCAAAAUUAAAACACAAAAAUACAAAGACUCCUCCCGAAUCAGAAUUGUUUGGAAGGAUUUUCUGAGAACCAGAAUAUUUUUUUGUAUUGCCUUAGAAUGAGAUAGAAAUGUAAAAUUAACUUUCCUGUUGCUCAGUUGAGUUUGAUAAUCAAGCUCUUAUUACAUGGUACUGUGAAUCUUAAUGCAUAUCAUAUCACAGAUUCAGAUACCUUUGCAACCCUACCUGGGUUUCGUGUCACACAGCUAACACGGUUUUUCUGUGCUGUUGUAUUAAGAUAUUUUUUUGAAUGUUCAAUAAGGUAUAAAUAUUCUGAAUUUUUUAAAUGCAUGUAUCGAUGUCAUUUAUUCAAUGUUUGUCUUUUCACCUAAGUUCAAUCCUCUGACAUAAUUUUAUCAUUUUCUAUCUCAAUAAUUAUAUUGCUCAAAAUUAAAUGUUUUUCUCUUUUUGCAGCUCACUACACUAUCAAAGUUUUGUUAGUAGUGUCUUCUAGAUUCUUUCUUUUUAAGAAAAUAGACUUUUGAUUUAGAUAGAUGAAUUUAUGUUUGUUUGUCAAUAUAUUACUUAAUUCAAAUCCUUGUGGAUUAAGUAUAUUUUAGUUGAGUCAUAUCAAAUAGUAUAGAUUGUAUCAUUUUUAGAAAUAGGAUUUAGUUUUAAAUACCUAAACUGUUAGUGGGAAGCAAUUUAAAAGCUAAAUAUUUAUUAUGUUGCAUGCAUUAAAAUGGUUUCAUAAUAUCAACCCUGCAUACAUCAGAAAAAUUCACUGUGUUAGCUUACUUUCUUGUACUAUUUGAGCCAAUAUCCCAAUUAAAAUAACAUCAAAGUAGGUUGGGUUCAUAACUUCAUUGCUUUAGUUACCCUGAUGCUUCAAUUUGUAACAUUGUGAUUGGUGGCAUUUGUGUGCUUUGCCUAUUACUAAUACCCUGCAUUCAGAUAACUUCACCAUGGCUAAAGAGAUAUCAGUUGAAUGUGAAGAUGGUGAACGGCAAUUUCUUUCUUUUUAUUUUACUUCUUCACAUAGACAGUCCCAGUUGACCUUUAUUUUUCUUUACCUUUAAGAUGAAAUUCACAAUGUUAGAUAAAUUGAUAAAGUUUUAUAUUAUAUUUUAAUUUGACAGUAUUUGUUACCAAUUAGUCCUAGUAAAGAAAAUUGUAGCGUAACAUACUCAGUUUUAUAAGUAAAAGUGAUGAUUUACUUGCAUGUAGCAGUUAAUUCUGCUAACUUAGUCCUUAAUAGCUUUUUGGCAUCUAAAGGUAUAUAUGCCUUUAUUUGUUCAAUACAGAUCUACAUGCAUCAUGAAACAUUCAAUAUUAUUGUUAUUCAUAAUAUGAUCAGUUGUUAUUCUAAAUGGGCUACACAUAAUGGAAACAUUUCUGGGAAAACUGGGGGUUUUGCUUUGAAACUACUAAAUGUUAAAUAGUUAUAUUUAAUUAUUUUUAACAAUGUUCUGUUGGUGAAGAAUGAUUAAUGUAUUGUUUAUUAUAUACUCUUCAAAAAAAGUAGGGGAUAUUGAAAUGCAAAUACUUAUGCAGGUUGCGAUAUGAUAAAUAGUCAUGGACAUUUGACAUGCUUUGAGUGUAUGUUCACAGAUGGAGAACUCAUCGCCCCAACAGAACCACUGAGCUGCACAUGCGACAAGCAAUAGCGCCAUACACGUGGGAGGGGUUCAUUGUCAAAUUUGACACUUCAUGGAAGGGUUGAUGAAAACUGCCAGGUGCUGGUUUAUCUAUCCAUGUUUGCUUUCCUAUCGGUUCCUGCAUAAGAUUUACUGUUCAGCGUAUUUUUGCUUUAGUGUGUUACGUUUAAUUUGAUCGGGAGACAUGUUCGUCAAUGUCAAUCGACAACACUGCAAGAAUUGGCUGUUGCACUGCAAGAGGAGUGGGUCAGAUUGCCCCAAAUCAUGAUUGGACGGUUGAUUAGGAGCAUACCACGACGAAUUGCUGAAUGUCUGAGGAUUGGUGGAUCAAUUACUCGUUAUUAAGACAAAAAUCAAAAACGUCCAUUUUCACUUUUGAUAGUGUAUCUCUUUGCGAGUGAAAUGGGGCCGUCAGGUUAGCCACCAAUAUGAACUGUUUAUGUUCAUGUGUAGGUAAUUGGCCUGUUAUUAACAUACACUGGUUACCUCUAAUAAAAACAGCAGUGCAUUUUUUGUAUUGUUUCUGAAUAUCCCCUACUUUUUUAGAAGAGUAUAUAACAAGUGAAUUAUUAUGAUUUGUUCCAUGUCUUUCUAUCAUAUACUAUAUUAAGAUUUAAACGGUAUGUUGUAUUGUGUUGAAAAUAAACAGGAAUUUAAAAUUCCGAAAGGUGUGAAGGAGCCCACUGUUCAGAGGAGAACAUUGACAUAGCAUAUUUAAUGACAAAAAAAUUGUAUGUUCAUUUAAGCCUGAUAUUGCAUGUUAAGAGCUCAAGACAAUUAGCUAAUAGCUUCAUCAAAAAAUAAAAUAUUUUAUGGAAAAAAAUA